CAAUCGGCUCUUUUCAGAGCCACCAGCCUCAAAUCUUGGAGAGGAUG
rfam:Anopheles maculatus strain maculatus3 cont1.27791, whole genome shotgun sequence.